rnacentral:rRNA from 1 species
CCUACGGGAGGCAGCAGUAGGGAAUAUUCUGCAAUGGGCGAAAGCCUGACGGAGCGACGCCGCGUGAGUGAUGAAGGUCUUCGGAUCGUAAACCUCUGUCAGCAGGGAAGAACGGUCACUGUGCUAAUCAGCAGUGAAUUGACGGUACCUGCACAGGAAGCACCGGCUAACUCCGUGCCAGCAGCCGCGGUAAUACGGAGGUGGCGAGCGUUAAUCGGAAUUACUGGGCGUAAAGCGCUCGUAGGCGGUAUGUCAAGUCAAGGGUGAAAUCCCUGGGCUCAACGUGGGAACUGCCUUUGAAACUGGCAAACUGGAGUGGGUGAGAGGAUAGUGGAAUUCCAGGUGUAGGAGUGAAAUCCGUAGAUAUAUGGAGGAACAUCAGUGGCGAAGGCGACUAUCUGGCACAUAACUGACGCUGAGGUGCGAAAGCGUGGGUAGCAAACAGGAUUAGAUACCCUAGUAGUC